CUCCUAACACUAUGGGCUGGUGGAUAAUUUGAAUUUAUUAUUAUUUAUUUUUUUGCCAUGCCAGUUUCUGCUACCUUUUAGGCUGAUGCUAUGGAGGAAAGAUGGAAAGAAUCGUUUGACCUCCUGUCUCUUGGAACAUUCCCAGAUGGCUUUAAUUAGUCCAAGAAAAUAAACCUUAGGAGGUACGCUUCAAAAUUCAAGUUAAAGGAAGGAGAGCUCUACGUUGGGAGCAGAAGAGCCAUUAAAUCCAAAGAGGAGGCAAGACAACUCUUUAUAGAGUUUCACUCCUCUCCAAUGGGGGGACAUACGGGCUUCCUGAAAACCUGCAGAGCAAUAUCCUCCAGAUUUUACUGGCUUGGCAUGUCAGUGGACAUUAACAACUGGGUCUUGGAAUGUGAUAAAGGCCAGAUGGUUGGAAAACCUUUGACUGCUGCCCAGACAUUGCAGUGUAUACAGGGAAUGCAGAGUACUUCUGUGUGGUGUGCUCCUUUGCCGAAGAAAAUGCAGAUGAGAGCAUGAUUGAAAAGGUGCAGUGUGGAUUGUGCAGUCGGUGGGCAAAUUUUGAGUGUGCCCAAUGUGCCCAUGAAAAUAAGGCUGAAUAUAUUUGCAAGAAAUGCCUUAAAAUAAAAUAAAGAUUUGAGAUCUUUUGGCUGUUAUUAUUAUUAUUUUAUGGAUCUUUUGAAUAAUU